AUCAAGCACUGGGAGCGCGGCGCUUCAACGAAGUGUCGUUAUUGAGGUGGGAUACUGACCAUUAAUACAGCUGGCAUCUGUCUGAAGUAACCCUUUUCCCCCCAACACACACACACACACACACAGAUACCCACGCACACACUUGCCGACAGAAAGACUUUCUCUCCGUCGUUCUCACAGUGUCGAUAUCUCGAUCUGCCUCUCUCGGAGCAUCACGUUUUUGCAUUGGCGCUACAGAAGACCACGGGAAGAUAGUAACGAAUUUCGUGGUCUGUGUGUGUCUUCGCGGUUUUCGCAUCCGCGGAGCCGUUCUAGUUUGCCGGGGGUCUGUGCUCGUAUUGUUUUCAUCUCUGGGUAGGGAGGGGGGAGGGGGUAAGGGGCACUUAUUAUUAUGUUAUUAUUGUUUUUUUAUUGUCGCUGGGAUCUCAGGAGGCGUUUGCUCUACUUAAUCCUACUACUCACACACCACCACCACCACCACUGACUCUAUUCAUUGGGUGUGGCUUGUUUUUUUUUUGCCUCACCUUUCAUAUAAAUAUAUAUAUAUAUAUAUAUAUACAACUAUAUAUAUUUAUAAAGUUGUUCGACACACUUGCGCAGCUCUUGGCUGGUGUGUCUCCUCGCUUUCUUCACGUUCUGCGAGGCCCAUCCGUGAUGCGUUACGUUUCCGGACUCGUGUUUUCCAUUCUCGUGUCUCCUCCACCUUCUCAUUCGAUUGCGAUUUUUCGUUUACCGUAGGGCUCUUUUCCUUCUUGUGUGUGUGCCUCCCCCCUCCUGUCGCUUUCUCAUCUUCUUGUGGCUCUUGCGGACUUCGCUUUUCUUGACGUUAACGAGUUUCUGCUCGACUUGAGCGUGCCUGUCUGUCUGUCUCUCCCUCUAUGCAUCGCUCAUGCGUGUUCAUGUGCGUGCGCUACUCUUUCUUCGUCCUCGCUAUGCUUUCUGACCCGAUUUGCACUCUUGGUUUUCUUCUCUCUCUGUUGACGUUGUCUUUGUGUGUAACAAAAGCGCGGGGAAAGGGUGACAGGGAGUCGAAACAGCAGCAGCAGCAGCAGCAGCGGCAGAGGCAGCGGCAGCAGCAGGCUCCACGUAUUUCGCGUCGUGCGUUUGCUUGUGUGCCUGUGGGUGGCUUGAUUAGCGGUCAGGCAGCACUGCCUGCUCCGCCUUCCUCUCUUCCUAUCCUUUCGGCUCCUCCCCCUUCCUCUCCAGUGUCGAUUUGUUUAUGCAUUGCUGCGUGCCGGCAUCAUCUGCUCUCUCACUCUCACUCUCUGCUGUCGUUGACUUCUGUCGUACACCUCCAUUUUUAUUUUUGUUUGGUUCUAUCUCGUCUCCCUCUCUUACGUGUAUCGCUUGCUACGUGACGCUGAUUCUUUUCGGGUUUCUCUUUGCCUCGUUGUGCCCACUCCCUCCCUCCCCUUCCUCACCCCCUCACCCCCUUCGUCACGCUCUCUCCCAUCUGAUUAUUAUUAUUACUCGUCUCAGCUGUGCGUGAGCAGGUGCCUGUUUCGCUCUCUCUAUAUCUGUGUGUGUCUGCGUGCUGUAUCGAGGUGCGCAUCCGAGCCGCCCUUAUACACCGUUUCGUCGAAGUCGACGAGGAGGGGCGCCUCCCCCUUUUCUUUGUUUUCCAGCGUGUGUCUGCCUCUUCUUCACACAAGGUCCUCCCUCUGCCACCCACGUUGUUGUUGGUAACACGAUCACGCUUCGGCUCACACAGCCGUCGAGCUAGGUUAGCGGUGACGACGACACGGCAAGUUACCAUCUCUCAUCGCAACAUUAUCUCCGAAGCUCUCUGUGUGACCCUGGCAACGGAUUCACCGAAAAGACAGGCCGUGCACCGGUCGCACACGUGACACGCUCCUUUUCACCCCAUCGCAUAGCAGAGAGAGAGAGCUUCAUUGGCUAGCGGCGAAGAAUGGCGCUCAUCGUCCAUAUGUUCUCGAUGGCGAUGGUCAGCCUCAUCGUGCUCGUGGUGCAAAACAGCCUGCUCGUUGUUAUGACCCGCUUAUCACGCAAGAGGGUUGAUGCGGCGCACAACUACCACACCUCCACCUUAGUCAUGAACCAGGAGAUUGCCAAGAUGAUCAUGUGUCUCGUUCUCUACGGGCUGGAUGACGUGUAUAGGCAGUACCGGCACGAUGCCGCCUCGAGCAACCGCGCCACCAACGCCGUGCAUAAGAUGGUAGGGCUAGAGAUCGAUGUGCUGCUACUCAGGGACGACAGCGCCAACGACGUGGAGCGCGAUGCGUGCCAGACAGGGAGUAAGGAGGUCCCGCCGCUUGCGGAUGAAGAGCCAUUGGAGGUGCACAUCCCUUACUCCUCAGCAUCGCCUCCGCAAACUAUGGCGGUCGGCCACGCCUCUGGGGAAGGCGGCCGCCACGUGGCGGACGAGCUCGGCUCGGACCACGACGCACCGGGUGUACCACAGGUGACGAGCACAUACUGCAGUAGCAAAACUCUCGGCAUCACAGCGCUGUUUGCCAGGCAGCUGCGACAAUCACCUUGUUUGACGACCUCGGCUCGACCGAGCAGCGCGCCGGCUAACGCGAACACGCGAGCUGCUGGGCAUGGUGAAUGGAGCUGCAGCGUCGAUGUCCCCGAGACGAUGCGCAAGUACGGUUUCGUCUUUACGUACAGACGGAUGAAGGCCCUCUUCUCCCUCUACUGCUCCAUGCUGUCCGCUUCCGUAUACAAGCGCGACACGCUGAAGCUGUUUGUGCCAGCCUUCCUGUUUAAUAUCCAGAACUUCCUGAUCUUCAUAGGGCUGUCGAACCUCGACGCCGUCACCUUCCAAGUCUGGUCGCAGACAAAGCUGCUCUCCACUGCCGUCUUCUCCGUCUGGCUGUUGGGCCGCAAACUUUCACCGAGGCAGUGGCUGUCGCUUGUCGCGCUCACUGCUGGAGUGCUUGGCGCGCAGCUCGGGGCACCGAGGGCUGGCACAGAAAUGCUCCCUACAGCUGCCCCACACUUGCUGCACGGCACGACUACGGUCCCUGGCCUCGACAGGGCUGGUGAGCUGCGCGCUGGCGACGACCACGACGAGCCUCAGGGGAACGCGCUGAUCGGGAUUGCAGCGUGUGUGCUGUCUGGCCUGUCGUCCAGCUACGCCAGCGUGUACUUUGAGAAAGUUGUCAAGACGACGAGCCCUACCUUGUCGAUUCGCAACAUCCAGCUCUCGCUCUUCGGCAUCCCGAUCGCGUUUGUUUCCAUGUUGAUCCUCGACGUCUUCCCGAACUGGUACGCAAGUGUGCAGUGCGGACAGCGCGUGCACUGGAACAUCUUCUCCGCACCGGCCGCGGGUACGAGGGUGCUCGGCGCAACGCAGGCAUUCUGCCCCGCGCGACCGUUUUUCUUUUGGCAGCGCUACGAUCAUAUUCUAACGUGGGCUCUGGUUUUCAUUCACGCGUUCGGCGGUCUGCUGGUCGCCAUGGUGGUGAAGUACGCUGACAACAUUUUGAAGGGGUUUGCCACCGGCGUCGCCGUGAUCGUUAGCGGGAUGAUGUCUUCUGCCAUUGACGGGUACGAGCCCAGCUUGGCCUUUGUGCUCGGCGCAGUGCUCGUGAUUGGCUCGAGUAUCGCCUUUCACAAGUUCGAGCCGAAGCGAUAAGGUGCUGGGGCCGGAUGUGAAGGGCAGGCAGAGGAAGGGCGAGAGACAGAGGAAACGGAGGGGCGAGGACGGAUCACACGCUUGCGUUUUGUUUUAAGCAUACGUGUAUGGUAUGCAUGUGGGGAUAUAUAUAUAUAUAUGUGUGUGUGUUUGUUCUCAGCCAUCUUCUUUGCUCUUGUCUCACACUCACUUUCAUCCGAAACCACGCGCGUGUCCUCCUCAGCCUUUCUCCUCCCCUAUUCACAUUUGCCUCUGUUAGUGAUCGAUCAUCUGUGUGUACGUUGGGUGCACCCUCGGCACUCCACCGGUGCGCGCGCGUGCGGAUGGUGGGUGCUUUUGGCGGCUCUCCUCUUUUGCGUUCGCGGUAGGCGAGGCCAAGGUGUGGUUGGGGGGCAAUGCACCGCAUACUUGGACCUCUUCCGACGGAGACUGUCCUAAAGGAGCGAUGGUGGUCGUGCUGGUGGCUCUGGUAGACGGGCUGCAUAAAGAAAAGAAGAAACGAGAACCCCCCUCCCCACAUAACCGCACACGAAGAUAACGGGGAGGAUUUAGGCGAGGGAUACUGUCGCGGUGCUUCGACCUGCCUCUGUUUAGGGAAGCCUCUCCAUUGCUCUCCUCCGCACUUGCCGUUCCUUUUUCUGUGUUGGGCUUUUGUUUUCUGUUUCGACGUCUCCUCGUCGCUCCUUCUCGCACCCUAGGCCCUCAUCCGCUUGCGUUGGGGUGAAUAAAUUUCCUUUUCACUGCAGCUGCCCCCCUUCUCACGCUCACGGAAACACUCCUCUUUCUGCAUUGCGGCGCCCCGUUCUCUACUUCGUCGUCUUUCCUCUCGGCCACUAUGUUUUUUUUUUUGUCUUUGUCUCUUGCUCGUUUCUGUGCUCUCAUGAUGCCGGUUAUCUCACAG
rnacentral:misc_RNA from 1 species